rnacentral:rRNA from 1 species
GACGUAGGGCGCGAGCGUUGUCCGGAUUUAUUGGGCGUAAAGAGCUCGUAGGUGGCUCGAUAAGUCGGGUGUUAAACCCCCAGGCUCAACCUGGGGCGCCACUCGAUACUGUCGUGGCUAGAGUCCGGUAGGGGAGCGUGGAAUUCCUGGUGUAGCGGUGAAAUGCGCAGAUAUCAGGAGGAACACCAGCGGCGAAGGCGGCGCUCUGGGCCGGAACUGACACUGAGGAGCGAAAGCGUGGGUAGCAAACAGG